GGAAGAACAAGUACCGGAGUAACUGCCGGUACCUUGACGGUACCUGACCAGAAAGCCACGGCUAACUACGUGCCAGCAGCCGCGGUAAUACGUAGGUGGCCAGCGUUGUCCGGAAUUAUUGGGCGUAAAGCGCGCGCAGGCGGUUCCUUAAGUCUGAUGUGAAAGCCCCCGGCUCAACCGGGGAGGGUCAUUGGAAACUGGGGAACUUGAGUGCAGAAGAGGAGAGCGGAAUUCCACGUGUAGCGGUGAAAUGCGUAGAGAUGUGGAGGAACACCAGUGGCGAAGGCGGCUCUCUGGUCUGUAACUGACGCUGAGGCGCGAAAGCGUGGGGAGCGAACAGGAUUAGAUACCCUGGUAGUCCACGCCGUAAACGAUGAGUGCUAAGUGUUAGAGGGUUUCCGCCCUUUAGUGCUGCAGCAAACGCAUUAAGCACUCCGCCUGGGGAGUACGGCCGCAAGGCUGAAACUCAAAGGAAUUGACGGGGGCCCGCACAAGCGGUGGAGCAUGUGGUUUAAUUCGAAGCAACGCGAAGAACCUUACCAGGUCUUGACAUCCUCUGACAACCCUAGAGAUAGGGCUUUCCCCUUCGGGGGACAGAGUGACAGGUGGUGCAUGGUUGUCGUCAGCUCGUGUCGUGAGAUGUUGGGUUAAGUCCCGCAACGAGCGCAACCCUUGAUCUUAGUUGCCAGCAUUAAGUUGGGCACUCUAAGGUGACUGCCGGUGACAAACCGGAGGAAGGUGGGGAUGACGUCAAAUCAUCAUGCCCCUUAUGACCUGGGCUACACACGUGCUACAAUGGAUGGAACAAAGGGCAGCGAAGCCGCGAGGUGAAGCCAAUCCCAUAAAACCAUUCUCAGUUCGGAUUGCAGGCUGCAACUCGCCUGCAUGAAGCCGGAAUCGCUAGUAAUCGCGGAUCAGCAUGCCGCGGUGAAUACGUUCCCGGGCCUUGUACACACCGCCCGUCACACCACGAGAGUUUGUAACACCCGAAGUCGGUGGGGUAACCUUUGGAGCCAGCCGCCUAAGGGGACAGAUG
rnacentral:rRNA from 1 species